rnacentral:rRNA from 1 species
AACGAACGCUGGCGGCAUGCCUAACACAUGCAAGUCGAACGAGACCUUCGGGUCUAGUGGCGCACGGGUGCGUAACGCGUGGGAACCUGCCCUUAGGUUCGGAAUAACUCCCCGAAAGGGGUGCUAAUACCGGAUAAUGUCUUCGGACCAAAGAUUUAUCGCCUUUGGAUGGGCCCGCGUUGGAUUAGCUAGUUGGUAGGGUAAAAGCCUACCAAGGCGUCGAUCCAUAGCUGGUCUGAGAGGAGGAUCAGCCACACUGGGACUGAGACACGGCCCAGACUCCUACGGGAGGCAGCAGUGGGGAAUAUUGGACAAUGGGCGAAAGCCUGAUCCAGCAAUGCCGCGUGAGUGAUGAAGGCCUUAGGGUUGUAAAGCUCUUUUACCCGGGAUGAUAAUGACAGUACCGGGAGAAUAAGCACCGGCUAACUCCGUG